rnacentral:lncRNA from 1 species
CUGGUGAAAAGAGAGAAAAAGAUGCUUAGUACGAAAAUUAGAGGAGGAAGACCUCCUCUACCGGUGGCGGUGCCAGGAGUGACAGCACACCGCUUGAGGUUGGCAGCAACGCACUGCUCAAGGCGGCAAUGCCCUCACCCACCUAGCGCACUACAGGGCUAGUUUGUAAGCGCAAGGCUACUCUGCCGCACACUCAAGGCCUAUACGCGCAAAGCACCGCACAUACAGGAGCUACCCUGCACGCGCGUAGGUCCUUGGCAUGCUGGACCCUACGCGCGCAAGCCUACUAUGCGUGGGCCCCAGGCGCACAAAUCUAUUACGUGGACAGCGAGCGUACAGUGUGCGAUGCUUAUCCACGUGCGAGAUAAUGCGUGAAUGGCCCCUCUGUGCACGACAAGACGCGUGUAGGAUUAACCCCAUGUUGC